CGGAGCUUGAGGCUGGAGAGACUGAGAUUGAAAAUCCAAACUAAUGGAGACACAGAAAUAAGUGUGGUGCUAUCACUGCUUACCUCCGUCCUUCAUGUAAUACCCACACUGCUCAGGUCAAGAGAGGGACUCUCUGCUGCCGGCCUCUGAGAAGAUUCCUCCCUUUGUGAGUGGCCCCUGGUCUGUAUCUCCCAGCUCUGUACGUACGAGUUGAGUCACUUAACCUUUCUCAGCCUCGAUUUUCUCAUCUUGAAAAUGGUAAUAUAAUUGUACCUAUCUUACAGGGUUGUUAUAAGAAUUAAAUGAGGAAUUCAUAGAACAUGCACAACAUAAUGUCAGGUACAUGGCAAGCGUUCUUACACUCUUCUCCCCCUGAAGGUCCCUCCCCCGACUGAGUCAUUGGGAUUCUUAUAUCUGCAUCUUUUGCCCCUCCAUCACCUCGCACUCCAGGCUGAGGUUUGGGAUUUGGGGGUCUGGGCUGGCUGAGGAAGCAAGGGUGACUCCUUCCAAGAAAAACAGGAUGUGCAGCAAGCAGCAGCCAGACGUGAAACCAGAACAGAAGCCCCAGGGUCUCUAUGGCAGUCUCGAGAAUCUUCUGAAAUCUCUCUUCAGACUCAUUAGCUGGAAAGUGAUAAAGCUCCAAGCCAUAAGACUGGAUGAUUUGUUACCCCAGAAACAUUUCAUUUUAAUUCUCUUAGAAAUUGCUCAGGAGGAGGGGUGCUUGGAGUGAAAACUAUAGUUGAAUCUUUUCAUACUCAAAACCACUUGCUGUUAAAAUCAUUGACUACAUUUUUUUGGGGGGAGGGGGGAAAUGCUUGACUGAUUACAUGCACCCUUCUUUAGAAAUAUUGACGGAUUCUCAGGCUGUGUUGGCUCCCCAAUCACACAUAACGCAUAAUCCUUGGCAAAA
rnacentral:lncRNA from 12 species